AUCAUUCAUCCGUCCCAGCUAAUUUGGGAAAGUCUCCAACUCCCAGCCAUUUAGCCCUUGGCAAGGAAGAAAUUCCAAACUCGAGCUCAGCCUUUGUCUGUCUCUUUUUGUCGGCCCACACCUUUUGUAGAAUUCAGUGGAAAAAUUAGAAAUAAAGGGGGCAAAACACAUGCUUAGUUUCUCAGAUGAAUUUUGCUACAGUUCCAAACUAGUGUUUUGAGAAUUUCAAUAAUAUGUUAAAUUUAAAAAAUCUCGGCCUUCAAUUGAAUCCACAAAUUACCU
rnacentral:lncRNA from 1 species